UGGGGAAUAUUGGACAAUGGGCGCAAGCCUGAUCCAGCAAUGCCGCGUGUGUGAAGAAGGUCUUCGGAUUGUAAAGCACUUUCGACGGGGACGAUGAUGACGGUACCCGUAGAAGAAGCCCCGGCUAACUUCGUGCCAGCAGCCGCGGUAAUACGAAGGGGGCUAGCGUUGCUCGGAAUGACUGGGCGUAAAGGGCGCGUAGGCGGAAUAUACAGUCAGACGUGAAAUUCCCGGGCUCAACCUGGGGGCUGCGUUUGAUACGUAUGUUCUUGAGUGUGAAAGAGGGUCGUGGAAUUCCCAGUGUAGAGGUGAAAUUCGUAGAUAUUGGGAAGAACACCGGUGGCGAAGGCGGCGACCUGGUUCAUUACUGACGCUGAGGCGCGAAAGCGUGGGGAGCAAACA
rnacentral:rRNA from 1 species